rnacentral:rRNA from 1 species
AUUGAACGCUGGCGGCAGGCCUAACACAUGCAAGUCGAGCGAGCGGCGGACGGGUGAGUAAUGUCUGGGAAACUGCAUGAUGGAGGGGGAUACCUACUGGAAACGGUAGCUAAUACCGCAUACCAUCAGAUGUGCCCAGAUGGGAUUAGCUAGUAGGUGGGGUAACGGCUCACCUAGGCGACGCUCCCUAGCUGGUCGGAGAGGAUGACCAGCCAAACUGGAACUGAGACAAGGUCCAGAUGCCUACGGGAGGCAGCAGUGGGGAAUAUUGCACAAUGGGCGCAAGCCUGAUGCAGCCAUCCCGCGUGUGUGAAGAGGGCCUUCGGGUUGUAAAGCACGUUCAGCGGGGAGGCGUUACCCGCAGAAGAAGCACCGGCUAACUCCGUGCCAGCAGCCGCGGUAAUAC